rnacentral:rRNA from 1 species
UACGAAGGGGGGCUAGCGUUGCUCGGAAUCACUGGGCGUAAAGCGCACGUAGGCGGAUUUCUAAGUCGGGGGUGAAAUCCUGGAGCUCAACUCCAGAACUGCCUUCGAUACUGGAAGUCUUGAGUCCGGGAGAGGUGAGUGGAACUGCGAGUGUAGAGGUGAAAUUCGUAGAUAUUCGCAAGAACACCAGUGGCGAAGGCGGCUCACUGGCCCGGUACUGACGCUGAGGUGCGAAAGCGUGGGGAGCAAACAGG